rnacentral:lncRNA from 1 species
AGAGAGCAUCAGAUGCUGAGGAGGGGCCCCUUGUUAAAGGCCAUACCAUUGGCUGCUCCUGCAAGCUGAGGGCAUGGAGGAGGGAAGGAAGGAGGAGACAGCCCCUCAGAACUUGGAGGGGAGAGUAGGCUUUCCUCAUCUUCUCUUCUCCUUCUCCAUGGUACUCCUGGGCUCUUCUUUUUCUCCUCCCUCAUCAUCAAUCACCCUUCCUCCUUUUCUUCAACCCCUCUUGGAAAGACUGGUGGAUGACUUUCAACUCCAGGAUUGAAGAGCAGCACACUCAGAUCUUCUUACACCAUCUCUGGGGGCCGACUGGCAGAGAAGGCUAGGGACUUGGCCAAUAUCAUGCAGCCUUCAUGCCUUAUUCGGGAAAGGUGCUCCAAAUAGGAGGAAUAUUUGGAAGAAAUCCCAAUAGGGAUUUGGAGACAUGCCAUUUGGGAAUGCAAACCCAGCCCCUCCUAGUGCUCCACCCUGCCCAUGUCCCCAUUGAACCGACAACCUGCAGAGAGAGCAGGAUGCCCACAGCAAGCCCCAAGGACAAAGGCCACAGAGUCAGGGCACCCAAAUCCUAACCUAACCUUGCCUGUGCUUCCUGUGUACUGUGGCCAUUUUACUUUCCCCCUGUUCCCUCCUCUGUAAAUGAGGCCCUUGGACUGCAUCAGUGGUUUUUACACUGAGCUCCCUGGAGCUCUGGGGGCCUCAGGGACUAUUGUGGAGGCCUUGCUGCAUUUGAGAGUGGUGUCUUGUACCCUACUCAACCCAUUUUUUCUGUUUUACAUAUUGGGCCUCUGUGGAAGAUAUUGCUUGAAGAAAAGGUUUUGUGGUCUAAAAAGUUUUAAAAAUCACUGGAUUGGGUGAUUUUUUCAUCUAUUUUCUGAUUGAGAAGUUUCAUGGCUUUUAUAGGAGAAGCAAGGUGACAGCAGCCACCCCAAGCUUGAAUUAUAGAGGUAGCAGGAAGGACAUUGUAGGCCAAGAGCCCUGUACAAACAGGCACAUGUUGUGGUUAUGGAGUGGAGAAAUCAGGUGUGUGCAUGUUAUGUGACCCUGCUUCAUAGAAUCAUGGAUGUGCAUCACAAUGGCCUCAGAGGUCACUGAGGGUGGCCAGAUGUCUGGGUGGAAGGGUCUCAUCCUGUUUUCCAGCUCCAUUCCAGGCAGCAUCCUCACGAUCCAAAGAACGGCAUAAGGGGCCCCUGUUUCCUGAGACCCAGUCAGAGCUCCUAUACUCUCCCACCUUGUUCCUCUGAGCUGACAAAUGACAUCGGAGAGGGCUCUAGGUUGGAAGGAAGACAAGGCAUUGCACUCACGUGAGGAGGAUUCAGUCUUGGUCCCUAGGGCGAUGGUGAUGAGGAGGAAGAAGGGAAUGGCAGCCACGGAGAUCUUCAUGCUGUGGGAAGCUGUUGUGGGAGGAGAGCUGGCCUGGUGGGAGCUUCAGAGGCUCCUGCGGUGAGGAAUUGUUGAGAAAUGAUCAUUGAGGCCAAAUAUUUUUUAAAAUAAGGGAGCUGAGACUUGGAAGGGAAGUAGGAAAGCAGUGAUGCCUCAGCAAUUUCAUAUCCUGCACAUGUGUUGUUGGUGGCCUGAAGGAAGCAGGGAGAGCCAAGGUUUAAGGGAGGAAAUGGUCUUCCAUCCCCAGUGGGAAGAAGUUCAACUCUUUUGAUAGAAGCCUUUCCCUAGGCAUGAACAUGAGCACAGGGCUGGGGGCACUGUGUCACACUUAGCAAAAGAUCUCAAGGCUGGAUGUGUCCUGUAUCCAAUUCCAUCUCAGGCCUUAGAACAGGCCACGUGGGGCCUGGACAUUCAGGAUCUGUUCAUCUAGAGACUAGAGGGUGUUUGGGGUAAUGGAAUGAGGCCAGGACUCCUCCAAGUCAGGUCUCAUUGGUCAAGGGAAAUCCUAACUUAAACUCGAAGCAGAACCUGCAGUUCUCUGUCUCAUCUCCAUUCUGGUCACCACACCAUGGAGUGAAGAAGUGCUGUGGUGCUCAGUAGAUAAUUCACUUAUAUAAUGGUUGCUAUACACACAAGCCACUGUCCCAGUUGCCUUAUGAAUAUUAGCCUAUUUAAUCUUUAGAACAGCAGUUGAGGAAACAGGCUCAGAAUCAAAGCCUAAGCUUUUGACAGUUGGUAAAUGGAACUGGGGUUCAAAUUCAGGUGGUUUGGCUUCCAAGUCUGUGUUCUCACCCAUUAUGCCAUAAAGAAACAUGGGACUCCCAACGGAGCUCUGUAAAAGCUUAUGGGUUUUCUAUAAAGCCUUUAGUCUUAGUCCUUUCUGAAAUCAGAUAGUGGAUCUCUUUGGGACCUUCUCCUGGUUUCUCUGACUUUUGCUGCAAAGAAGCUUGGUGGGAACCCUAGAAAAUGUCUAAUUCAGGGAUAGCUAGUAGGUUUCAUUGAUUAGUGGUGGACUGGAGCUCUGUGUUGGAAAUGAUUCUGAGGCCAUAUCCAGGCACAUUGGGAAGAUACGCUGUGACCAACGUGCAGUUUCUGUUGCAGUGCAGCUUGCAUGCUAUGUAUCUGCCAUUUGAUUUGUCUAAACUGGCCAUUUACUGAAUGGAAGCUGGGAAUCAGAAAGGACCAGUGACUUUCUCAUGUGCACACAGUGAUUUGGAUGCAGGACAGAUCUCAUCUCCGCAGGCUCUCAGCUUAGUGCCCUCACCAUGCUGUUCUUGGAGGUACAUCCCCCAUUCUGCUUGCUGAUGUGGUUAGAUGGUUAUUUAAUCUCCUCUCCUCAUCUGAAUCAUCAGGAUGGAGAACAUCUAUUAUUUAUCUUUGCCCAUUCACGCAGAACCUAGUGUAUACCAGGUGCUUUAUGAAUAUACAUUUUAAAAGAAGGAUGAAUAAACAAAUUGAGCCAGGUCUACAUAUGUGUAUCUUAUAGGAAAUGGCUGAAAUCUCAUGGUUAGUUGUGGAGACAGUCAUCAAUUAAAAAUUUUCUAUAUUUCUUAUCAUCAAUAACAACAUUAUGUAAACCCUUCAAGUUAAAUGAUAAUAAUUGUUAUCAGGAACAAUCUCAGGAAACAAGUUGUUUAUAGGAAAAGUGAGUUGGAAAGAAAUAAUGCUUACUUCUUGUUUUUGUGGAAACUAGCCAACCUGCCAAGUUGUUUCUAGGAGACUUACAGGAAGUUCCUGUACUUUUCCAGCAAGUAUUGAGUUCCUACCUACAUUAGUCUGUGUGUGCCAACUGCUAUCAUAAACAAUCCAGCAGACUAAUUAAAUAAAAGUUUAUUUCUUGCUCAUGUUACAGUCCAGUGUGGGUCAGUAGUGGGAUGAUGGUGUGUGUGUUGGGAUCCUCCAUGUACUCAUUCAGGAACCAGGCCUUUUUCUACCUUGGAUGCCACCAUUUUCAGCACAAGGCCUCCAAGCUUGAUACAAAAAGGGAGAAGCAGAGGAGGAUUGGGAGAUUUUUGUGGAUCAGUUCUGAAAAUGGUACAAAUUACUUUCACCCACAUUCCAUGGCCAGCAUCAAGUAACCUGGCUCCAACAUAAUGACAAAGGGAUGGAAAAUAUACAUCAUCUGUAUGCUUAGGAAGAAAAAGGAAUAGGUUUUGUGACCACAUCACUUCUUUGACACAGUAUCAUAUGCCAAGUCCUGGGCUAGGCUUGGAGGGAGGGAUUGAAGAUGACCCUGAUCCCAGAGGUCUCAGAACUCAAAGAGGGACUAAAAAAAGUAAAGGAGAAUUGCAAUACAACCAGAUGAAUGAAAUUUGAUGGCAACAUAAUUAGAGACCUUAAAUGUCCUCCUGUUGCCCCCUGUUGAGUAUGAAGAGCCUAUUUUAAAAAUAUUUAAAAUGUUUUUCAAAGCAACACAUACAUAUAUUGGUUUAAAAAACUGAAUAGUACAGGAAGGAUCUGUAGGACAUAAACCUUCUGAGUUCAUGCUUGCCUGAAGAAGUCAUUAUUUAGCCUUCAUACUUGAUUGAUAUUUUUGUUGGGUAUAGAAUUCUACAAUGGAAUAUAAGAAUAUGUUUCUUCUGAAACUCAUUUGUGGUGAUCUGGUGUUUCCCCUCUCUAGAAAAUUUUAGGGUUUAUUCUUUAAUCUUGUUUUCUUACUUUUUGGCACAAAUAGAUGUUCCAGACUCAUCUUGUACUUUCCUUGGCCCAGCUCUGGAAUUAGCCAUUUCUUCCAUGAGUCUCAGUUUCUUUUACUGAAAAAUGAUUUUGAGAAACCAAAAUCUGAGUGCUUGGUGUGUUCAUUGCUAUGGGAAUGGCAUCACUUUUAGAUCUGAGCUUUUAGUGGCUAGAACCUGGAAAUAUAUGUAAGCAUAUGUGUAUAAGUAUGUAUUUAAAUUUAUGUCUAUUUCAAGUAUAUCUAUUUCAUAUAUUAUUAGCAAUUUGUUUUUGUUUUUGUUUUUGUUUUUGAGAUGGAGUCUCACUCUGUCACCCAGGAGUGAGGUGGUGCAUUCUCAGCUCACUGAAACCUCUACCUCCGGGGUUCAAGUGAUCUUCCUGCCUCACCCUCUGGAGUAGCUGGGACUGCAGGUACAGGUCACCUUGCCCAGGUAAUUUUUGUAUUUUUAGAGAUGGGGUUUCACCAUGUUGGCCAGGCUGGUCUUGAACUUCUGACCUCAGGUGAUCCACCCGCCUUGGCCUCCCAAAGUGCUGGGAUUACAGGCGUGAGCCACUGCGCUCGUCCUAUUAUUAGCAAUUUCUAUGUCCUCUUUCUAGCUAUAUGAAAAAACAAAAGUUUAUACCACUAUGUCCAAUUCCAAGUAAACACCACAGAGUUAUUUCAGUCUUUCCUGUUUCUAUGUUUCCCUCCCUCCUCUAACAAUGGGGACUCCUGCUCCCAUUAACCUCAAUGUAUGUACUUAUUUGCUGAGUUCCCUGUAUGUAACAAAUCUCCUGGCCACACUGGCUGUAUUCUGGCCUCUGGUCCCACUGGCCUCAACCAUGUGCAUCAUCUUCUCUGCCCUGGCCCUGGUUGAGCCCUCAGUUGAGGGGAUGAGUUAUAUUACUUUUAAAUCUUGUCUCUGGUUCUAAAAAGAAUAAAAAUAUGAAUGUUUCUAUUUCCUA